UGAAAUUAUGAACAUUUUGUUCUGAAUAAUGAGAUAGAGAUAUCUCACAAUUUUUUUUCGACCAAAAUGUUUGUAAUUCCGAAUAUGCUUUCGUUAACAAAACACGGCCACGAUGAAUUAUGUUCAAAAGUUUAUUUUUGAAAUUUAAAUUUUUUCGAUGCUCUUUUUAAAUGCAGAGUGCCAUUAACGAUUUACAACGAUAUGCAAUGACACUGCAUAUCAUUACUUUAACUUGAAUGGUGCCCUUGAAUCCUUAAUCUGAUCAAACAUGUGGAAGAUAACGUCGUUUUUCUUCUGACAAAAAUGUUUAUUUCUGAUAUUUUCUCCAGUCUUUCUUAAAGCCAAGAAAUGUUCGUCACAAAAAAAAAAA